rnacentral:rRNA from 1 species
UUUUUAUUAUAUAAAAAAUGUUACUGGUCAGUGAUAUUAAACACAUGCCUUAAUCUGAGGGUAAUAAUGUAGCAUAAUUAAUUAUCGUUUAAUUGACGAAGAGUAUGAAUGGUAAAACAUUUUUUAAUUGUCUCAAUUUUAUAAAAUAUUAAAUUAAAAUAAAUGUGAAGAUACAUUUUUAAUAUUAUAAGACGAAAAGACCCUAUAAAUCUUUACUAUUUAGUUAGUUUAACUGGGACAGUUAACUCUUAUUAUAAUAGAGUAUAUUAUUAUAAUUUCUAACAUGAAUUAUUAUGACCACUUGUAAUAAAAUAUAAGUAUAUAGAACAAAAGAUACUUUAGGGAUAACAGCGUUAUUUUUUUAUAAUUUUUUUAUAAAAAAGUUUACGACCUCGAUGUUGAAUUAUG